rnacentral:misc_RNA from 1 species
GAUGAAGAACGUAGCGAAAUGCGAUAAGUAAUGUGAAUUGCAGAAUUCAGUGAAUCAUCGAAUCUUUGAACGCACCUUGCGCCUUUUGGUAUUCCGAAAGGCACACCUGUUUGAGCGUCAUGAAUACCUCAAUCUCCAUCUUUUCUUCGGAUUGACGGGUGACUUGGAUGUUGAGCCCUGCUGGUAUGCUAUAUCAGCUGGCUUUAAACUUAUUAGCCGGCUCUGUACUGGAUCGGUUUGACUCGACGUGAUAAUAUUAUCGUUGAGGAUGCAUGUCUCAUGCAGCCGGAAAGUAUCAAAGCAGCUUCUAGCUUGCCUUUAGUGCACUUUUACAUUUUAGACCUCAGAUCAGGUGGGACUACCCGCUGAACUUAAGCAUAUCAAUAAGCGGAGGA